GCUCAGGACGAACGCUGGCGGCGUGCUUAACACAUGCAAGUCGAACGGUGAUGUCAGAGCUUGCUCUGGCGGAUCAGUGGCGAACGGGUGAGUAACACGUGAGUAACCUGCCCCCGACUCUGGGAUAACUGCUAGAAAUGGUAGCUAAUACCGGAUAUGACGAUUGGCCGCAUGGUCUGGUCGUGGAAAGAAUUUCGGUUGGGGAUGGACUCGCGGCCUAUCAGGUUGUUGGUGAGGUAAUGGCUCACCAAGCCUACGACGGGUAGCCGGCCUGAGAGGGUGACCGGCCACACUGGGACUGAGACACGGCCCAGACUCCUACGGGAGGCAGCAGUGGGGAAUAUUGCACAAUGGGCGAAAGCCUGAUGCAGCAACGCCGCGUGAGGGAUGACGGCCUUCGGGUUGUAAACCUCUUUUAGUAGGGAAGAAGCGAAAG
rnacentral:rRNA from 1 species